CCGUCUGCCACUUUGUGCAGGUGCCCUGGGGGAAAUGCACACUGAACCAGCUGUCGCCUUGGCCUGCAGGGAGCUCACCCCCUUGCUGCUCAUGGAUGGCUGAACUGGAUCCUGUGAUGCGGUGGGUGUGAGGGGGAGAAGGGGCGGCUGCUGGAAGAGGGCAUUCCCACCCUGAAAGGAGACACUGGCAGGAAUAAAGUGGUUAUGAAGCCCCACAGGGCAAGUUGCGUUAGGCUCCAGGGGUUUGCCCCUGUGCCCUCCGUCUCCUGGCAGCAGAGGCCACCCCGCCAGUGGCUGAGCUGUCCUGAGUCACUCUUCCUGUUCCUUGAAGGCUAAGCUGGUCCCCCGGGGCCGGCUCUUCAGCAGGCUUCCUGCCUGCAGAGUCGUGCACGUGGAGGGGGCCCAUCCUGCAGCAGAGAGCCUAGGACCUGUGGCAGCAGGGAACGCCAUCAGCUCUGCUGGCCUUCCAGCAGCUCUGUCCUGUGUCCUGGUGAGGCCCCUGUGGGUGGCACUCCUCUCCAUGUACAUUGCAAGAGGGGCCGCCAGGCAGUAACGCUUGUACUGGAUAUUGAGUCCCCCUGAUCCCAACUCACUUGCUUUUGUUGCCUUUUCCGCCAGUGCCCAAGGCCCCAUGCAACCAGGCUCUCCUUCCCUCUUUUACCUGUUAGGCCAAGUGUAAUGCUUUGCUCCUGGUGGGUCCAAAGCCAGACACUUGAUUUGAGAAAGAUGCUCACAAGCACUACAGAAGCCCCAAGUUCUGUCAGGGCCUGGUUUCCUAGAGCUCGAUUUCUAACAGACAGGGAUUGGCAGAAGGGGCGGUGACAGGGCUUCCUGCCUGGCCACCCAGGGCUUUGCGGUACCACCCAGGGCGCUGCUGUGCCUGAGUUCCUGCGGCCGGAAAGGGUGUGUUGGGUGGACACACCGAUGUGCUAGGAGUCUGGGUGGACGGCCAAACACAUGCCAAGCCUCCCCGGUAGCUACGACACUAGCCUGUCCCUGAAUCGGUACAUGUCAACCCCAAUGUAAUAAGCAGGCAGUCCCCUCCGGAUUAACCCUCCUGAGAUACGAGCUGCCUCCAUGUCAUGCCUCCGAGGCUCAUCAUGUGCUUCUUUUGAGCAACAGUUGGCAGCUGGUCUCUCCUCUGCACAGGGCCUGCCUUGCUCUCCAUCUGAUCGGCAGGGGCUAGAGUCUGGAAGGGUGGGGGGGGGAGGAUGCAGGGAACCCGGGCAUGGCCUGUGGACAUGGUCACUGGGUCACUCCAUCACCUUAAAAACACCUCAUGACAUGUCCUUUAGGUCUGGGAAGGGCCUUUAGGGCCAGGAAAUGUUAAUGAAAAAUUCCUCAGUCAAUGAGUGUACCCUAGGACUUGGGGAGACACUUUUUGCAAAAGAAGCCCAAAGCUAUGCUGGGUGGGGCAGCUGCGGGACCCCAUUGUCCCAGCUGGCAGGCCAGGUGAACUCUGUGGCUCAGGUCUUGCAGCCAGUGCCUUUUAAUAAGAUUAUGGAAUGGGAACAGAUGCCAUAUAUCUUGAGAAAAGAUAGUUAUCGCUCUCAUGAGACUCAAGUCCAUAUGCACCUCGAGGGAGAGCCCUCUGUGGUGGGGACACCUGCCCCUGCUGCAGCCAUGUGACCCCUCGGGCAACAGCAGGACAUCUGUCCUUGUGGGUCCCCAUCUGCGCAGCGUCUGUGCAGUCCGGGCAGCAUUGGUAGGAGCUUUUGGGGGAAGGCGGUGGGCUGUCCUUGAGCAGCGGGGCUGGAGUGUUCUGUGGCCACACUGUCGCUGAGCCCCUCAGCGUGUUCUUCCAGCCUGGCCCUGGCCCUGUGAUCACGUUAAUUUUCUGUGUUUCGGCCCCUCGGCAGCUCUUCCUGGUUUGGUUCCUAUCGGUGCAAUUUCUUGCCUUUCUCCAGGGGACCUUUUGCACAAUUUAUAAUAUUGUUCCUCUUCUAAACUUCCUCUUGUCCACUCUGCUCAAAUCAGCUGAUGCCUGCCUUCUCCAAAGUUUCAGAGAUGGUUGUAAGCCUUGUCAGGCUGGUAAGGGUUAGGCUGGCCGUACUGGACUACACUCUGUUGUCACAGCCAAGGGUGGGGGUUCAAGUUCUCUGCCUCCUGUGCCAAUGAAAAUACAGAGACUGUAUGUCAGAUAUUUCAGGUUGUUCUCAGAUUGAUCCCAGGAUCCUAUCUUUUUACUCAAGGACUCUUUCUGGUACUUGCCAGUCAUUUCUAAUUAUUUUGUUUAAUCACUUUCUUACACUUCUGUGAAUCUAGGAGUGUGGGAGUCCCUUGAUGUGGCUUAACCUGGUCUGUAGGAGCCGCUGGUAUGACGAUGGCUGGUGAUGGCAAUUUGAGGCAAGUGUUUUCUAACUUCUCCAUGUCUCCCUUUUCAAACACUUAAAAUCCUGACCUUGAGAAAGUUUGGGACUUUUCUGUCACUUAGAUAAAUCUGAGCAAUUAAUUUUUUAAUGGUUCCCAGGUCUUGCAUCUUCACUUUUUCCUUUGAUUCUUUUAUGUGUGAUCAGUUGGAAAAGGUAGCAUCUGAAAAUAUAUGGAACAAAUUAAUAUGCGGCCCAGGGACAGCUUGAAACAAUGGGAAGAGGGGGAGUCACAUUAGAUGCCACAUCGAAUGCCAGCAUGGCCCUUGCCACGGACACCGUUGUUGUUUGUGUUGGUCGGUGGUCUUUUGACGACGACAAGUGUAACCUCUUAGAUCGCCAACAGUAGGGAAGCCUCGUGAAUUUAGAAACUGGACAUUUAACUCUCUGCACACAUGGCCAAGUGGAGCACCGAGAUGCACGAAACUCUCAGUCAGCUCAGGCGGCUGAGCAGCGCGGAGCCCGGCAGACGGGGCGGCUC